rnacentral:rRNA from 1 species
UACAGAGGGUGCGAGCGUUGUCCGGAAUCAUUGGGCGUAAAGGGCGCGUAGGUGGCCCGGUCAGUCCGUGGUGAAAGCGCGGGGCUCAACCCCGCGUCGGCCAUGGAUACUGCUGGGCUGGAGCACUGUAGAGGCAGGCGGAAUUCCGGGUGUAGCGGUGGAAUGCGUAGAGAUCCGGAAGAACACCGGUGGCGAAGGCGGCCUGCUGGGC